rnacentral:rRNA from 1 species
GGGAUUGCCUCAGUAACGGCGAGUGAAGCGGCAAGAGCUCAAAUUUGAAAGCUGGCUCCUUCGGGGUCCGCAUUGUAAUUUGCAGAGGAUGCUUCGGGAGCGGCCCCCAUCUAAGUGCCCUGGAACGGGCCGUCAUAGAGGGUGAGAAUCCCGUCUGGGAUGGGGUGCCCGCGACCAUGUGAAGCUCCUUCGACGAGUCGAGUUGUUUGGGAAUGCAGCUCUAAAUGGGUGGUAAAUUUCAUCUAAAGCUAAAUAUUGGCCGGAGACCGAUAGCGCACAAGUAGAGUGAUCGAAAGAUGAAAAGCACUUUGAAAAGAGAGUUAAAAAGCACGUGAAAUUGUUGAAAGGGAAGCGCUUGCGACUAGACUCGCCCACGGGGUAACAGCCGCUAUUCGUAGCGGUGCACUUCCCCGUGGUCGGGCCAGCGUCGGUUUGGGCGGCCGGUCAAAGGCCCUCGGAAUGUAACGCCUCUCGGGGCGUCUUAUAGCCGGGGGUGCCAUGCGGCCAGCCCAGACCGAGGAUCGCGCUUCGGCACGGACGCUGGCUUAAUGGUCGUAAGCGACCCGUC